rnacentral:rRNA from 1 species
GUAAACGGCGGCCGUAACUAUAACGGUCCUAAGGUAGCGAAAUUCCUUGUCGGGCAAGUUCCGACCUGCACGAAUGGCAUAACGAUGGCCACACUGUCUCCUCCUGAGACUCAGUGAAGUUGAAGUGUUUGUGAUGAUGCAAUCUCCCCGCGGCUAGACGGAAAGACCCCAUGAACCUUUACUGUAGCUUUGCAUUGGACUUUGAACCGAUCUGUGUAGGAUAGGCGGGAGCCUGUGAAACCACAACGCCAGUUGUGGCGGAGGCGUCCUUGAAAUACCGCCCUGAUUUGUUUGAGGUUCUAACCUGGGACAGUCAUCCUGUCCGGGGACCGUGCAUGGUAGGCAGUUUGACUGGGGCGGUCUCCUCCUAAAGGGUAACGGAGGAGUGCGAAGGUACGCUAGGUACGGUCGGAAAUCGUGCUGAUAGUGCAAUGGCAAAAGCGUGCUUGACUGCGAGACCCACAAGUCGAGCAGAUACGAAAGUAGGUCAUAGUGAUCCGGUGGCUCUGUAUGGAAGGGCCAUCGCUCAACGGAUAAAAGGUACUCUGGGGAUAACAGGCUGAUACCGCCCAAGAGUUCAUAUCGACGGCGGUGUUUGGCACCUCGAUGUCGGCUCAUCUCAUCCUGGGGCUGUAGCCGGUCCCAAGGGUAUGGCUGUUCGCCAUUUAAAGAGGUACGUGAGCUGGGUUUAAAACGUCGUGAGACAGUUUUGUCCCUAUCUGCCGUGGGCGCUGGAAGAUUGACGGGGGCUGCUCCUAGUACGAGAGGACCGGAGUGGACUCACCUCUGGUGUACCGGUUGUCACGCCAGUGGCAUCGCCGGGUAGCUAUGUGGGGAAGAGAUAACCGCUGAAAGCAUCUAAGCGGGAAACUUGCCUGAAGAUAAGUCUUCCUGGAGGCUAGACCUCCCUAAAGAGUCGUUCGAGACCAGGACGUUGAUAGGAUGGGUGUGUAAGUGCUGUGAGGCACUCAGCUAACCAUUACUAAUUGCUCGUGAAGCUUGAUCCU